rnacentral:rRNA from 1 species
CACGUAGGGGCCAAGCGUUGUCCGGAUUUAUUGGGCGUAAAGAGCUCGUAGGCGGUUCGACAAGUCGGGUGUGAAAACUCCGGGCUCAACCCGGAGACGCCACCCGAUACUGUCGUGACUGGAGUCCGGUAGGGGAGUGGGGAAUUCCUGGUGUAGCGGUGAAAUGCGCAGAUAUCAGGAGGAACACCGGUGGCGAAGGCGGCUCUCUGGACCGGUACUGACGCUAAAGCGCGAAAGCGUGGGUAGCAAACAGG